rnacentral:rRNA from 1 species
UAUAUUCUGUAGCAAGGUUAACCGAAUAGGGGAGCCGGAGGGAAACCGAGUCUUAAUUGGGCGUUAAGUUGCAGGGUAUAGACCCGAAACCCGGUGAUCUAGCCAUGGGCAGGUUGAAGGUUGGGUAACACUAACUGGAGGACCGAACCGACUAAUGUUGAAAAAUUAGCGGAUGACCUGUGGCUGGGGGUGAAAGGCCAAUCAAACCGGGAGAUAGCUGGUUCUCCCCGAAAGCUAUUUAGGUAGCGCCUCGUGAAUUCAUCUCCGGGGGUAGAGCACUGUUUCGGCUAGGGGGCCAUCCCGGCUUACCAACCCGAUGCAAACUGCGAAUACCGGAGAAUGUUAUCACGGGAGACACACGGCGGGUGCUAACGUCCGUCGUGAAGAGGGAAACAACCCAGACCGCCAGCUAAGGUCCCAAAGUCAUGGUUAAGUGGGAAACGAUGUGGGAAGGCCCAGACAGCCAGGAUGUUGGCUUAGAAGCAGCCAUCAUUUAAAGAAAGCGUAAUAGCUCACUGGUCGAGUCGGCCUGCGCGGAAGAUGUAACGGGGCUAAACCAUGCACCGAAGCUGCGGCAGCGACACUGUGUGUUGUUGGGUAGGGGAGCGUUCUGUAAGCCUGUGAAGGUGUGUCGUGAGGCAUGCUGGAGGUAUCAGAAGUGCGAAUGCUGACAUAAGUAACGAUAAAGCGGGUGAAAAGCCCGCUCGCCGGAAGACCAAGGGUUCCUGUCCAACGUUAAUCGGGGCAGGGUGAGUCGACCCCUAAGGCGAGGCCGAAAGGCGUAGUCGAUGGGAAACGGGUUAAUAUUCCCGUACUUGGUGUUACUGCGAAGGGGGGACGGAGAAGGCUAUGUUGGCCGGGCGACGGUUGUCCCGGUUUAAGCGUGUAGGUGUGUGUUCCAGGUAAAUCCGGUUCACUUUAACACUGAGGCGUGACGACGAGGCACUACGGUGCUGAAGCAACAAAUGCCCUGCUUCCAGGAAAAGCCUCUAAGCAUCAGGUAACAUCAAAUCGUACCCCAAACCGACACAGGUGGUCAGGUAGAGAAUACCAAGGCGCUUGAGAGAACUCGGGUGAAGGAACUAGGCAAAAUGGUGCCGUAACUUCGGGAGAAGGCACGCUGACACGUAGGUGAAGUGAUUUACUCAUGGAGCUGAAGUCAGUCGAAGAUACCAGCUGGCUGCAACUGUUUAUUAAAAACACAGCACUGUGCAAACACGAAAGUGGACGUAUACGGUGUGACGCCUGCCCGGUGCCGGAAGGUUAAUUGAUGGGGUCAGCGCAAGCGAAGCUCCUGAUCGAAGCCCCGGUAAACGGCGGCCGUAACUAUAACGGUCCUAAGGUAGCGAAAUUCCUUGUCGGGUAAGUUCCGACCUGCACGAAUGGCGUAAUGAUGGCCAGGCUGUCUCCACCCGAGACUCAGUGAAAUUGAACUCGCUGUGAAGAUGCAGUGUACCCGCGGCAAGACGGAAAGACCCCGUGAACCUUUACUAUAGCUUGACACUGAACAUUGAGCCUUGAUGUGUAGGAUAGGUGGGAGGCUUUGAAGUGUGGACGCCAGUCUGCAUGGAGCCGACCUUGAAAUACCACCCUUUAAUGUUUGAUGUUCUAACGUGGACCCGUUACCCGGGUUGCGGACAGUGUCUGGUGGGUAGUUUGACUGGGGCGGUCUCCUCCUAAAGAGUAACGGAGGAGCACGAAGGUUGGCUAAUCCUGGUCGGACAUCAGGAGGUUAGUGCAAUGGCAUAAGCCAGCUUGACUGCGAGCGUGACGGCGCGAGCAGGUGCGAAAGCAGGUCAUAGUGAUCCGGUGGUUCUGAAUGGAAGGGCCAUCGCUCAACGGAUAAAAGGUACUCCGGGGAUAACAGGCUGAUACCGCCCAAGAGUUCAUAUCGACGGCGGUGUUUGGCACCUCGAUGUCGGCUCAUCACAUCCUGGGGCUGAAGUAGGUCCCAAGGGUAUGGCUGUUCGCCAUUUAAAGUGGUACGCGAGCUGGGUUUAGAACGUCGUGAGACAGUUCGGUCCCUAUCUGCCGUGGGCGCUGGAGAACUGAGGGGGGCUGCUCCUAGUACGAGAGGACCGGAGUGGACGCAUCACUGGUGUUCGGGUUGUCAUGCCAAUGGCACUGCCCGGUAGCUAAAUGCGGAAGAGAUAAGUGCUGAAAGCAUCUAAGCACGAAACUUGCCCCGAGAUGAGUUCUCCCUGAGACUUA